AAUCGGUGGUAGCCCUUCGGGGUGACCACGUACCUUUUGCAUAAUGAGCCAGCGAGUUGCGUUCUGUGGCAAGGUUAAGCCGCGAGGCGGAGCCGUAGGGAAACCGAGUCUGAAUAGGGCGAUAGUCGCAGGGUGCAGACCCGAAUCCAAGUGAUCUACCCAUGGCCAGGGUGAAGCGUUGGUAACACUUCGUGGAGGCCCCGAACUCACUGAGGUUGAAAACUUAGGGGAUGAGCUGUGGGUAGGAGUGAAAGGCUAAUCAAACUUGGGAAUAGCUGGUUCUCCCCGAAAGAUAUUGACGUAUCGCGUCGAAUCAGCACUGCUGGGGGUAGAGCACUGAAAGGGCUAGGGGGCCUCACGGCCUACCAAACCCUAUCAAACUCCGAAUACCGGCAAGUGACGUUCGGCAGACAGGCGGCGGGAGAUAAGUUUCGUCGCCAAAAGGGAAAGAGCCCAGACUCCAGCUAAGGCCCCCAAAUCCGCGCUAAGUGGUCGAGGAUGUAGGGGAGCACAGACAACCAGGAGGUUGG
rnacentral:rRNA from 1 species